GGUGUUGUAGCUCAAUGGUAGAGCGCUUGCCUCGAAUGAAUGAGGUCCUGGGUUUGAUCCUCAGCACUG
rnacentral:tRNA from 1 species